rnacentral:rRNA from 1 species
UCCUACGGGGCGCAGCAGUGAGGAAUAUUGGUCAAUGGUCGGGAGACUGAACCAGCCAAGCCGCGUGAGGGAUGAAGGUACAGAGUAUCGUAAACCUCUUUUGUCAGGGAAUAAAGGCGGGGACGCGUCCCCGGAUGAGUGUACCUGAAGAAAAAGCAUCGGCUAACUCCGUGCCAGCAGCCGCGGUAAUACGGAGGAUGCGAGCGUUAUCCGGAUUUAUUGGGUUUAAAGGGUGCGCAGGCGGUCUGUUAAGUCAGCGGUCAAAGCCCGGGGCUCAACCCCGGCCCGCCGUUGAAACUGGCAGG